rnacentral:siRNA from 1 species
UCGUGACAGACACUUUGAUCG